rnacentral:lncRNA from 1 species
AAAAAAAAAAAAAAAAAAAAAAAAAAACAGUAAGCUAUUACGUUUUACAUAAACCACGAAAAAAAAAAAAAAAAAUGUUAAUAAUGAUACUAUUAAAAAUAGUAACCAUUUAAAUGGCUAAUGAAAAUAAUAAUAAUUAAAUAUAUUUAUUUUUUUUUUCAACUUUGUAAAAAUGCUUAAACGUUUUAAGUUUUUCUACAUUCUUCGUGUUAAUAUAACUUUCUAUACUUUUUAACAUUGCAUUUAUUUUUUAUUUUUUUUAUUAUUUUAAAGUUUUUGUAACUUAAUUGGAUAGCCCAUAAAAUUGCUACAGUUUCCUAAAUACAUUAAUAGUCAUUUAUUUUUAUUUCAUUGCUUAAAUUUAUUAAUUUUUAUAAUUUGUGUAUGUAUACGUAUAUAUAAUAUAUAUAUAUAUAUAUAUAUACAUAUGUAUAUAUUUUAACAUAUCAUAUGUCAAUCAACUUUUUUUGCAUUUAUUAAACUAAGUCAAAUAGCUAAAUGAGCUUUUGCAUCGAAAAGAAAUGUCCACAUAUAAAAACAAAUUUAAAUCAGUUAAUCCACAAAAAAAUAAAAGUGAUGUUUUAAAAAAUUCUUAAUAAAAUAUGUAUAUAAAUUUUAUACUAUUUAAAAAAAAUAAAUGAAAUAAAAAAAUAAAAAAAGAAAAAUUAGAAAAUGAAAUAAAUGAUGUGCCUGAACAAGAAGAACAGGUACCUGAACCGGUCGAAGAAGUGGAAGAAGUUGUUGAAGAAGAAGAAGAAGAAGAAAUUAUUGAAGAAGUUGUAGAAGACAUUAAAGAAGAAAUAGAAGAACCAGUAGUUUUAGAAGAAGAUAAAUCAGUGAAUGAAAAUAUUUCAGAAGAUUUAGAUGAUACUUAUUCAGAUAUAUAUACAGAUUCCAAAAAAUUUAAUGACACUAAUGACAAAUUGGAAACAGGGUCACAAUUAACCUUAUCUACAGAUGCUACUGUUGUAGUCCAGGAAGUAAUGAAAUUAAAUGAACCAGCACAUGAAGAAAGUUUUCAUAAUACAUAUAGGUCUGUCACUCCAUGUGAUAUGGAAAAGGUUGAUGAGACAGCAAAAAUAUUUUCAAGAAGAUGUGGAUGUGACCUUGGGGAAAGACAUGAUGAAAAUGCUUGUUAUAUAUGUAGAAACAUAGAUUUAUCUGACACUCCUUUAUUAACAUAAACAAACAUAUAAUUUGUUAACACUCUUAUGUAUGUAAAUAUAUGUAUACAUAUUUAUUUAUACAGUUUGGCAUAAUAUAUAUAUAUAUAUAUAUAUAUAUAUAUAUAUAAUUUUAUUAUGACUACUUUUUUUUUUUUUUUUUUUAAAUAUAUUUUUAAUAAAGUAACUAAAAAUUACUUUAUUUUCUGACA